CUCAACAUGGAGCUGAAGGUUCAUUCUCUUCUAGGUCGACUGCAACUGGAAUCCGUCAAAAUGCCAAAACACCAAUGGCGUCAAGAGGUGGUGACGAACGGCCCCCUGGAGGAACGCCGCUCAGCCUUCCACCUUCUCCAGACCCUCAGCUCAAAAUGCAAACACAACUAAUCAGUAAUCACAGUCUCGAACCAAUGGCUCGGUAUGGAAUGGCGGCCACCUCGAAGCACACACGGGCUGGUUUAAGUGGAACACCGAGACAUAGCUAAUAACUGAUUUGCAACCAUAUACGCGUAGCCUACCAUGCAUAUUCAUAUAACUAUAAAUAAGUCAAGCAAUACUCUCUUAUACUACAAGGAGUUUCGGGCAUCUCCGGGGGUAGUUUUAAUGACCCUUGUGGUAGUUUGACCCUUAUUCUGUACCUAAACCUAAAAGAAAACCCCACUCAUUAGAACCCGAUUGAUCUCCUUUUCGGCCUUGGGAAAUUGAUGAUGUAGCCUACGUGAGAGCCGAAAGUGUCGUGAAAAUACUAACUAAUAUCUUGGGAGUAACAUCCACGUAGGAAUAACUUCUACCAGUGGCAUAACAGUACCUCAAUAAUGGGUUACUCAAGGACUCGUUUUCUCAAACCUUUCGGCGCCCAAGUCCACAUAUUUGACAAAGGCUUUCGUAGGGGUUGUGGGCAUUAAUAUUAUUUUCAAGGGGUAGAACAUAUAAGAACAUAAGAACAUAGGGAGACUGCAAGAGGCCGAAUGGCCUCCACAAGGCAGCUCCAGAUUUCCCCCCGCUACCUGUCAUCCUCGUCCAUGUAGCAAUAUAUAUCAAGUCUACUCUUAAAACAAGCUAUCGUUGGAUCGUACUUGCACUCACUUAUAUGUCUGUGAACCCUAUACAUAUGGAACGGACACGCCCAGCCUUGUCAUUAAGCCGCUAGUUUUGGAAAAUCAACCGCUUUGGUGCGAAUCAAAGGGUCGAAAAUCGAAUAAAUUCGCAAAAAACGACUCUGAAAAGAUACGUAUUUUUGAGUUCCCAACCUUGAGACCCACUCAUUUUUUGAGAAUUUCAAAACACUUAUUUAUUCAUCAUGUAUUCAUCAUUACCAAGAAAUGCGCUGAGGACAAUUCAUCAUCAAGAUGUGCUGUCUCCUUUACAAAUACUAGUUAGAAAAUUGUAAGCAGCAAUCAUGUACUGCCAGUCUGCCACACGAACCCUCAUGAAAUGUCACACGCGGACACGUGGUCUGGCCGGCCGCUCAUGGAGGUACAUCCAUGUGGCCACUCCUCGGCUUGAACAAUAUGGCCGACUCACAGUUUAGUGGCUUCAAACUGCGAGACUCCAUGCUCCCCCCUUAUAAUACUAAAAAAAUAAGAAAUAACAUGUAUAAUAAGGCGCUUAAUAUAGGAUGAUUUAUAUAGUGAAAUGAUUAUAAAAAGUAGUCACUUUUUAUACAUAGUUAUCUUAAAAUGGUUUUAAUACAAGGUAGUCAACAUAUUGAAGUGUUCAUAUGUGAUUUUUUAUGCAGAUAUAUGAAUUUUUGUGGCGUCAGGAAGGUUUUUCGUCGCGGCGCUUGACAUCGAGUCAGAUUCGGGGAAUGUUCGUCGCGACUUCUGGUCGAGCUCGAGCAAAAACUACUGAAGCUAGGAAAGCGUGCUUGGUGGCAAAUAAAAGCUUUAUUACUACGGAUUAAUAAUUAGAAAAAAAUUGGAAAGCACUAAAUAAAUAAAAAAAAAUGUUAUAAGCAAAAAACUAGGACGUGUCCAAAUCGCGGCAAAAGGGCCGGAAAACAGGUUAUUUUUGUGACGGUUCGAAGACGAAUUAGAAUCAAGCUAUCAAAAAACCCUUCGAGUUGGUUAAACUACAUUGCCAAGAGGGGCUACAUUGGCAGGGCUAAAUCAUUUGUCAAAUAAGUGUUUUGAAAUUCUCAAAAAAUGAGUGGGUCUCAAGGUUGGGAACUCAAAAAUACGUUUUUUUUCAGUCGUUUUUUGCGAAUUUAUUCGAUUUUCGACUCUUUGAAUCGGUUUUCGAGCCCGGUCGCUAAUGUAAUAUAUAGCCCAUGCAUUUUGCCGUCGAUUGAUACCAAUAACUUUUCUGUAGCCCCAGAAGUGAGGGAGUUAUGGCGAUUCGCACCAAAGCGGUUGAUUUUCCAAAAUUCACGGCUUAAUGACAGGGCUGGGGCAAGUUUCCGGUCCAUAGUGUAGGGUUCACUGAGCAAGUUGCUGUCUCUGUAUUCAUUCCCAUCUAGUGCUUGGGCAGUGUUCUCCGUCCCCACAUUUUAUUGUCUUAUUGUCCAGGGGGAGGUACCGCCCCCUCCCUUGUUGUGCUUUCCUUCCUACCAUUGUAUCUUUUUAGUUUCAUGGUGCUACCUUCACAUGUAUUAAUAGUUGUAUAAUCACACUCUGUACUGCCUGGGGGUUGGGAUGGCAUGUUCCUCCCUUCUCCCUUGUUGUUUACCUGCAACAAUAAACUAUCAAUCAAUCAAUGUCCAUUCUGUAGUGUGGGCACCAAAACAGGACAGCAUAAUCUAAGUGUGGCCUAACUAACACUAAAUAGAGUCUGAGGAUGACCUCUGCACUUUUGUUGGUUACCGUCCUGUUAAUAAAGCCUAAAAUCCUGUUAGCCCUAUUCCUCACACUAAUAGUAGGCUACAGUGCUUCCUUAGUUUUAGGUCAGAGUUCACACACUCCCAAAUCCCUUUCACACUCUGCCCUGCCUAUCGCUGUGGAGUCUAAACUAUACCCGUGUAAUGGGUUGCGUGUUCCUACACUUAGUAUGCUACGCUUGGUAAUGUUAAAAUUCAUCUGCCAUUUCUCUGACUAAUCUGAGUUUAUUGAGAUCCUCCUGCAGUGCUUUAGCAUCCUCCCCUGUCCUAAUAGUGUGUCCUAUUUUGGUGUCAUCCGCAAAUUUACCUGUCACUGGUUAUCCCAUUGUCUAUGUCAUUGAUGUAUUGAUAAUGAAUAAAAGCGGACCUAAAACUUGACCCUGAGGAACCCCACUGAUAACAUUAUCCCAUUCGAUUUUUUUUUUUUUUUUUUUUACCGUUAGUGGUAACCCUCUGUUUCCUGUCGCUAAUCCACGCCCUAAUCCAAUCAUAAACCUUCCCUCCUAUUCCAUGAGCCCUGACUUUAUUUUUUUAACACUCUCUGGUGAGGUACCUUAUCGAAGGCCUUAUAUACUAAAAUCAAGAUAAAAUACAUCGUAGCUCUCAUCAUUGUCAGCUGCCUCGUAUACUCUAUUGUAAAAUGAUAAAAGAUUAGUAAGGCACGACUUUCCUUUAAUAAACCCAUGCUGUGAGUCGUGAAUUAAAUUUUCUCAAUAUGGUCCCUAAUAUACUAUCUGCUUUUAUUGACUCAAGCAUUUUACCUAUAACUGACGUCAAAUUAAUCGGCCUAUAGUUUUGUAUAGAAGAUUUGUCUCCCUUCUUAUAUAUUGGAAUAACGUGUGCCUUCCUCCAUGAAACAGGCACCACUCCUGUGUCUAGCGACUUCCUAAAAACUGCUGUUAGCUGCCACUGAUUUCAGAUUUACAUUCUUUAAUACCCUGGGAAAAAUUUCAUCUGGCCCUGGCGCCUUAGUAACUUUGAGUCUAUCUAUCUUUCUAAUCACGACCUCCCUACUAGGGGUAGUGUCAUGACCCUUCUUCUGUACCGUGAAUGUGAAAAAAAAACUCAUGAAAACCCGAUUAAUCUCCUUUUCGGCCUUUGGAAAUAGUUGAUGUGGGAGAUGGAAUGUAUGAGAAUACCCCCCCCUGAACUGCAAUCCACAUAUCUCCCUCCCUUGUCAAGUUUCGUGCGAACUGAAAACAAAUAAAUUAAAGGCGCAGUUUGAAUUAGAAGAUUUUACAUUGCUUUCAAACUUAGGCAAGACAAACACCAUUCUAACAGACCAUUUAAUUCACCUUGAUUUAUUAUUAUUUUUUUUUUUUGCAGUUGUAGUUUUGAUUGUUCGAAAUAUUGACGAAAUUGAAGCUCGAUCGGAUCCAUCACAGAAAAUGGUAAGUUUGAAAAUAUUCUUCUCCAUAUGUUUGUUUUUUAUAUACGUAUUGUACAAGAAAAUUUCGAGAAAGACGAAUAUGUAUAUAUGCUGUUGAAUGUAAGGCAUGGGAAGUUGGUCGUCAAGUGUGUGUGUGUGUGUGUGUGUGUGUGUGUGUGUGUGUCAGUGGUAGUGUUCGAAUCACAUUACGUACGUUCCAUUCUCAACAGGUGGCACUUCGAAACAAUAAUGGCCACAACACGUCAUCUCCAUAAUAAUAAUAAUAAUAAUAAUAAUAAUAAUAAUAAUAAACAAAAGAGGUCCUGAGCGAUGAAGACCUGAUUUUACUCUUAUUUUUAACCUGUGUAACCAUCUACACACACACACACACACACACACACACACAUUACUUUCCCGAAUAAUAAUAAUAAUAUGUCUUUGGAAGCCACUCCGUAUGAUAAUUAAUAGUUCUACCUUAAUAUCUUCCCCCUUCCCCUUCAGUGCCUGUUUAUAGUGGAACCAAGCGAGACCGUUUGUGCUUUGGUCCUCGCGGGUUCUUUCCUCCCCGACGCUCUGCCACACACCCUCAACACCUGUCUCUUCCUCUCAUAUGUUAACUAUAGGAAACAUAUGAGAUGAAGGGAUAGGUCUUAGGGUGUGGUAGGGCGGCGGGGAGGAAAGGACCCGUGGUAGCCAACGCGAAUUAACACGGUCUCGCCAAUUUGGGUUCACUAUAGCGUUGGCCUCAAGCCCUCUGGUGGCCACUGAAGGAACAACGUCACCACCCGCUAUAGAGGUUAUCAUCAGUUAAGAGUAUAUAUGCAAAUUUAUACGUACCAGUCCAUUUAGUAUUAUUCAUGGGAGGAAACGAGAGAAAACAACAACCGCUGGUAACUUGAGCUGUGUGGCGUAAAACUAAUAGGCUAUUGGUUGAAGUUAGGAAUGUUUUCUUUUUUAAACUUUAUUAUUUUUCUAUAUCCUCAAUUUCCAGCGUUAUAUCAAUCUUGAUUUUGACUACUUUUGACAUUUGGGUUCUUCAAACACUCGAGCUCAAUGACCUUUGUUUUUUUUCUCUGCCUUCCUUCCUGAUCUGUGUCCUAAAUGGAAUGGAGUAGAAACUCGCAAACACACUCUUGUACUUAUAGGAUAGUCUAGAAAACUAUAUUAUCUGUCUCUAAGGUUUGAAUAUGUAAAUAGCGUGCUUAACAGCUAAUACAUACAUACUAGCAGCACCUUACCCACCACCACCAAACCACACCCUCUCUUCAACGUGCACUACUAUGGGCCGCGCGCCGCCUCCGUACCAAGGAGUCUACCGGGACCAGGGUCAAUAUUCUUAAACGUAUAGGGCUGCCAUUACGACCAUUUUCCAAGGACACAGAAGAGACUGGCCAGAUUUUUCAUGGCUGUUUUUCCCGUUCAAGAUAUGCAGAAGGCGGGUAAAACUAUCACUAGAAUCAAAACAGUCCAUGAAAAUCCCAGCAGCUUCUAAGAUAGGCUUUUCAAACGGGCGAACUGAGGCGUCGAUACGUUUAAGAAUACGGGCUUGGGAGAUCCUUGCUCCGAACUGGCCCAACCAAAUCCGUGUUUCGAAACGCUCUCGAUCGGGUCUCUUUACAACUAUUCUCAGAGGUUACACGGUCGGAUUAGUCGGGUUCUCAAGGCCAUUAUCCCAUUCAUGGUGCAAUUUAGUACUGCUGUUAUUAUUGAGAUCCAUGAAAGGGCAUCAAGGGAUAGUAGCUAUGGGCCCAAACGGUGUCCCUUCGAUGAGCAGUGAUGAGUACGAAAAUUAGACUGACAGUAACGGAAGAAUAAAUAAAAAGGAAGGACAAAAAAAUACCAAUAGUAUUUCCAUUUUAAACUGGCCGGUGGGUUAACAGUUAGAUAAUGACUUUUGCUCUCCCUGUAAGACUAUCACGAGGAUAAAAAGAAAAGCGCCCAUUAUGACCUCAACAGCUUUCCCACGAGAUAACCUUUUCGAGUAUAGGCGCAACGGCGCAACGAGACCCUAAAUUAAGCGGUUUCGAACACGUAUGGGUCUGCUGGGUUGCGAUAGACUCCUUGAUCCUCCUUGGGCCGCCACUUCUCAAACAGAUAAAUGAAUACUAUGACAGCAGGAGGCACGUACACCGAUCUUAAGAACUACUAUGAGGCUUGCGAAUGGCUUAUGAGAUUUUAACGGACGCUUGAAACAAAACUGCAGGGUAGCUGUAAUACGUCUGAGAACCACACGACGCUAGUUCACUAUGGGGUCUGUAGUUCCCAAUAGUCUGUAGCGAGGCCCUCUGGCGACCCUCUUACAGGCUGCUGAAAGUUACAUGUAGUAGUACUCGUCGUGUAUGGAAUAGGUAUAGUACAGGAGAUACAGGCUACAUGGAGUUACUGUAUACGUUAGUUACUGCUAGAUGCGAUAUGUUCACCUACAGAUAUUUGGGAGGGGAGCUCGGUUUUAUACACACACACACACACACACACACACACACACACACACAUUAAACAUCGUGUGCAAAAAAUACAUACAUUGGGACGUGUUUAACUUUAAAUAUAAGUGAACAUGUAAUAAAACGCGAUAAAAUACAUAACCUUCGAGCUUACGUUCUUAACUAAUUUCAUCCUGUAAAAAUAUAUUAAAACACAAACGUCUAUGAAUGAACACACACACAAAAUAAUUGCAUUCUAAAUUAUAGGAAGUUAGAAUAGCUUUCACCUACAAACGUACUUUUUUUUUCCCUACAUCUUUGUCAUUCAUCCUCUCUUCCAACCUAGGUACUGCUUUCUUUAUUUUUCAUUCAUCUUGCAUUCAUGAUCUUCUCUGUCCCGUCACUCAUGCCUUCACAAUUUUCUUAUCUUUUAAUUUCCCUUCCAAUGUUUUCUUCUUCAUUCAUUCAUCUUGCAUUCAUCAUCUCGAUCCUCUUCCAUUCACUAUCUUCUUCUCUUUUAAUUUCUCUUCCAAUGUUUUCUUCUUCAUUCAUUCAUCUUGCAUUCAACUCCUUCAUUAACUUCUCUUUUAAUUUCCUUUCCAAUGUUUUCUUCUUCAUUCAUUCAUCUUGCAUUCAUCAUCUCGAUCCUCUUUCAUUCACUAUCUUCUUCUCUUUUAAUUUCCCUU